rnacentral:rRNA from 1 species
UGGGGAAUAUUGCACAAUGGGCGCAAGCCUGAUGCAGCAACGCCGCGUGAGGGAUGACGGCCUUCGGGUUGUAAACCUCUUUUGUCAGGGAAGAAGCCUUCGGGUGACGGUACCUGGAGAAAAAGCACCGGCUAACUACGUGCCAGCAGCCGCGGUAAUACGUAGGGUGCAAGCGUUGUCCGGAAUUAUUGGGCGUAAAGAGCUCGUAGGCGGCUUGUCGCGUCUGCUGUGAAAACCCGAGGCUCAACCUCGGGCCUGCAGUGGGUACGGGCAGGCUAGAGUGCGGUAGGGGAGAUUGGAAUUCCUGGUGUAGCGGUGGAAUGCGCAGAUAUCAGGAGGAACACCGAUGGCGAAGGCAGAUCUCUGGGCCGCUACUGACGCUGAGGAGCGAAAGCAUGGGGAGCGAACAGG